rnacentral:rRNA from 1 species
AUUGAACGCUGUCGGCAUGCCUUACACAUGCAAGUCGAACGGCAGCACGGGUGCUUGCACCUGGUGGCGAGUGGCGAACGGGUGAGUAAUACAUCGGAACAUGUCCUGUAGUGGGGGAUAGCCCGGCGAAAGCCGGAUUAAUACCGCAUACGAUCUACGGAUGAAAGCGGGGGACCUUCGGGCCUCGCGCUAUAGGGUUGGCCGAUGGCUGAUUAGCUAGUUGGUGGGGUAAAGGCCUACCAAGGCGACGAUCAGUAGCUGGUCUGAGAGGACGACCAGCCACACUGGGACUGAGACACGGCCCAGACUCCUACGGGAGGCAGCAGUGGGGAAUUUUGGACAAUGGGCGAAAGCCUGAUCCAGCAAUGCCGCGUGUGUGAAGAAGGCCUUCGGGUUGUAAAGCACUUUUGUCCGGAAAGAAAUCCUUGGCCCUAAUACGGUCGGGGGAUGACGGUACCGGAAGAAUAAGCACCGGCUAACUACGUG